rnacentral:rRNA from 1 species
GGUUAAGCGACUAAGCGUACACGGUGGAUGCCCUGGCAGUCAGAGGCGAUGAAGGGCGUGCUAAUCUGCGAUAAGCGCCGGUAAGGUGAUAUGAACCGUUAUAACCGGCGAUACCCGAAUGGGGAAACCCAGUGUGACUCGUCACACUAUCAUUAACUGAAUCCAUAGGUUAAUGAGGCGAACCGGGGGAACUGAAACAUCUAAGUACCCCGAGGAAAAGAAAUCAACCGAGAUUCCCCCAGUAGCGGCGAGCGAACGGGGAGGAGCCCAGAGCCUGAAUCAGCAUGUGUGUUAGUGGAAGCGUCUGGAAAGGCGCGCGAUACAGGGUGACAGCCCCGUACACAAAAGCGCAUGUGCUGUGAGCUCGAUGAGUAGGGCGGGACACGUGGUAUCCUGUCUGAAUAUGGGGGGACCAUCCUCCAAGGCUAAAUACUCCUGACUGACCGAUAGUGAACCAGUACCGUGAGGGAAAGGCGAAAAGAACCCCGGCGAGGGGAGUGAAAAAGAACCUGAAACCGUGUACGUACAAGCAGUGGGAGCACAGGUUUACCUGUGUGACUGCGUACCUUUUGUAUAAUGGGUCAGCGACUUAUAUUCUGUAGCAAGGUUAACCGUAUAGGGGAGC